GCCAAUUUAGCUCAGUUGGUAGAGCAGCUGCCUUGUAAUCAGCAGGUCGUCAGUUCGAGUCUGACAAUUGGCUCCA
rnacentral:tRNA from 1 species